rnacentral:rRNA from 1 species
GCGAACGCCGUGCAGUGUGCAGGGGUAAUGGGGAGGGUGGCAUGGGUAAGCGGAAUGACUGGGUGGAAAGUGGGUGUAGGCGGUUGGGUAAGUUAGUGGUGAAAUGCCUGUGCUCAACGUAGGCGCUGCCGUCACAACUGCCGAACUUUAGCAUGGUAGGGGCAGAUGGAAUUCCCGGUGUAGCGGUGGAAUGCGUAGAGAUCGGGAGGAAUACCAGUGGCGAAGGCGUUCUGCUGGGCCGUUGCUGACGCUGGAGCGCGACAGCGUGGGGAGCAAACAGGAUUAGAUACCCCAGUAGUC